UGGGGAAUUUUGCACAAUGGGGGUAACCCUGAUGCAGCGACGCCGCGUGAUUUAGAAGGCCUUCGGGUUGUAAAAAUCUUUUGUAUGGGAAGAAAAUGACAGUACCAUACGAAUAAGGACCGGCUAAUUACGUGCCAGCAGCCGCGGUAAUACGUAAGGUCCGAGCGUUGUCCGGAAUCAUUGGGCGUAAAGGGUACGUAGGCGGAUAAGCAAGUUAGAAGUGAAAUCCUAUAGCUCAACUAUAGUAAGCUUUUAAAACUGCUCAUCUUGAGGUAUGGAAGGGAAAGUGGAAUUCCUAGUGUAGCGGUGAAAUGCGCAGAUAUUAGGAGGAAUACCGGUGGCGAAGGCGACUUUCUGGCCAUAAACUGACGCUGAGGUACGAAAGCGUGGGUAGCAAACAGG
rnacentral:rRNA from 1 species